rnacentral:rRNA from 1 species
CUACGGGUGGCUCCAGUGGGGAAUAUUGGGCAAUGGGCGAAAGCCUGACCCAGCAACGCCGCGUGAUUGAAGAAGGUCUUCGGAUUGUAAAAAUCUGUCCUUGGGGACGAAAAAAAUGACGGUACCCAAGGAGGAAGCCCCGGCUAACUACGUGCCAGCAGCCGCGGUAAUACGUAGGGGGCGAGCGUUGUCCGGAAUUACUGGGCGUAAAGGGUGCGCAGGCGGCGCUUUAAGUCAGAUGUGAAAUACCCAGGCUUAACCUGGGGGGUGCAUUUGAAACUGGAGUGCUUGAGUGCAGGAGAGGAAAGUGGAAUUCCUAGUGUAGCGGUGAAAUGCGUAGAUAUUAGGAGGAACACCAGUGGCGAAGGCGACUUUCUGGACUGUAACUGACGCUGAGGCACGAAAGCGUGGGGAGCAAACAGGAUUAGAUACCCUCGUAGUC